GAUGAACGCUGGCGGCGUGCUUAACACAUGCAAGUCGAACGGAAAGGCCCUGCUUUUGUUGGGUGCUCGAUUGGCGAACGGGGGAGUAACACGCGAGUAACCUGCCCUUAACUUUGGGAUAACUUCACGAAACUCGGGCUCAUACCGGGUAGAAUCUCCUGCUGCGUGUUGUGGGUUGGUAAGUUUCGGCGGUUGUGGAUGGACUCGCGGCUUAUCAGCUUGUUUGUGAGGUAGGUGAUUACCAAGGCUUUGACGGGUAGCCGGCCUUAGAGGGUGACCGGCCACAUUGGGACUGAGAUACGGCCCAGACUCCUACGGGAGGCAGCAGUGGGGAAUAUUGCACAAUGGGCGGAAGCCUGAUGCAGCAACGCCGCGUGCGGGAUGACGGCCUUCGGGUUGUAAACAGAUUUCGCCUGUGCCGAAGCGUGAGUGACGGUAAUGGGUAAAGAAGCACCGGCUAACUACGUG
rnacentral:rRNA from 1 species